AGAGUUUGAUCCUGGCUCAGAAUGAACGCUGGCGGCGUGCCUCAGACAUGCAAGUCGUACGAGAAAGUCCCUUCGGGGGCGAGUAAAGUGGCGCACGGGUGAGUAACACUUAGGUAACAUACCCUUUCGCUGGGGAUAACUAGAGGAAACUCUAGCUAAUACCGAAUGAUCCGACUAUUGCUUCGGCUUUGGUCGGGAAAGCCUUCGGGCGCGAUUGGAUUGGCCUGAGUCCCAUUAGCUUGUUGGUAGGGUAAAAGCUUACCAAGGCUACGAUGGGUAGCUGGUCUGAGAGGAUGAUCAGCCACACUGGUACUGGAACACGGACCAGACUCCUACGGGAGGCAGCAGUUAGGAAUUUUGCACAAUGGGGGAAACCCUGAUGCAGCAACGUCGCGUGGGUGAGGAAGGCCUUCGGGUUGUAAAGCCCUUUUGGUGGGAAAGAAACAAAUGACGGUACCCACAGAAUAAGCACCGGCUAACUCCGUGCCAGCAGCCGCGGUAAUACGGAGGGUGCAAGCGUUAUUCGGAUUUACUGGGCGUAAAGCGCGCGUAGGCGGUUAUGUUAGUCUGAUGUGAAAUCCCGGGGCUCAACCCCGGAAGUGCAUUGGAUACUGCAAAACUAGAGUAUAGGAGAGGAGAGCGGAAUUCCUGGUGUAGAGGUGAAAUUCGUAGAUAUCAGGAGGAACACCGGUGGCGAA
rnacentral:rRNA from 1 species